CAGUCGACGAUGAAGCCCAGCUUGCUGGGUGGAUUAGUGGCGAACGGGUGAGUAACACGUGAGUAACCUGCCCUUGACUCUGGGAUAAGCGUUGGAAACGACGUCUAAUACCGGAUACGAUCUUCCACCGCAUGGUGAGUUGCUGGAAAGAAUUUUGGUCAAGGAUGGACUCGCGGCCUAUCAGCUUGUUGGUGAGGUAAUGGCUCACCAAGGCGACGACGGGUAGCCGGCCUGAGAGGGUGACCGGCCACACUGGGACUGAGACACGGCCCAGACUCCUACGGGAGGCAGCAGUGGGGAAUAUUGCACAAUGGGCGAAAGCCUGAUGCAGCAACGCCGCGUGAGGGACGACGGCCUUCGGGUUGUAAACCUCUUUUAGCAGGGAAGAAGCGAAAGUGACGGUACCUGCAGAAAAAGCACCGGCUAACUACGUGCCAGCAGCCGCGGUAAUACGUAGGGUGCAAGCGUUGUCCGGAAUUAUUGGGCGUAAAGAGCUCGUAGGCGGUUUGUCCGUCUGCUGUGAAAUCCCGAGGCUCAACCUCGGGUCUGCAGUGGGUACGGGCAGACUGAGUGCGGUAGGGAGAUUGGAAUUCCUGGUGUGCGGUAAAUGG
rnacentral:rRNA from 1 species